rnacentral:rRNA from 1 species
GACGAACGCUGGCGGCGUGCUUAACACAUGCAAGUCGAACGCUGAAGCUCAGCUUUUGUUGGGUGGAUGAGUGGCGAACGGGUGAGUAACACGUGAGUAACCUGCCCCCUUCUUUGGGAUAACGCCCGGAAACGGGUGCUAAUACUGGAUAUUCACUGGUCUUCGCAUGGGGGUUGGUGGAAAGGGUUUUUCUGGUGGGGGAUGGGCUCGCGGCCUAUCAGCUUGUUGGUGGGGUGAUGGCCUACCAAGGCUUUGACGGGUAGCCGGCCUGAGAGGGUGACCGGUCACAUUGGGACUGAGAUACGGCCCAGACUCCGACGGGAGGCAGCAGUGGGGAAUAUUGCACAAUGGGCGAAAGCCUGAUGCAGCGACGCCGCGUGAGGGAUGGAGGCCUUCGGGUUGUGAACCUCUUUCGCUCAUGGUCAAGCCGCAACAAUGGUUGUGGUGAGGGUAGUGGGUAAAGAAGCGCCGGCUAACUACGUG